rnacentral:ncRNA from 2 species
AAUUUAUCAAGAGUGGACGAGAGAUUGGCUUUAUGACUCCACAGCAACCUACUUAUGUAAGGUGCUAAUACCAACAAAGCUUAAGCUUUGGAUGAUAAAGA